CCAAAAGAUGGAGAGGAUUGAACUCCCAGCCUUUAUUUCACUUCAAUGGAAGCGGGAACUAUCAUAUCGUCAACAGUUCCAUUCAGUGGAGCUAUAUACGCCCUAUCAGCAAAGCCGAGGAGAGAUUGGGUAUCGAACAAUGAAGAUUUCGUUCGGAGCUUGCCAAUAUGCGUCGGAGGGGUCAUCAUGCUCCCUGUGCUCUUUAAUCGCACGGUUUUGCCGGCUAGUAGUUCACAAUGUAGGGCUGAUCUAUUGACACUUGGAUUGGCUGUGACAAACAAAUUAACUGGUCUGGCUGUCAAUCCCGCCAAAAUCUAUCGCUGUGGUGAGGUCUCUCUCCCUCUCUCUCUGGUGUGGCCAUUGGUUUCGUUGCAUGUGUCUGUCCGCAUGUACAAAUACACAAACAGAAAUUUGCACAAGACUUGAAAUCCAAAAAAGUAUAAUUCUCUGGACUGCCUAUUCAUUUUGUAGAUUGAAAAUUUUCAUUUAUGAGCUUGAUUUCAGGUAAAUCCUCAAGAUGUCGAGUGUCAGAUCAUAUCUUCUCAACUCACCAACACUGUAAUUUCUGAGUUAUUAUGGAUGCUAAGAGGUAGAAUGGAGCAAAAUUAUGCUGGUGGAAACACAGUUAACUACUUACUUUUUAUGCCCUUCCUUAGGGUAUGGGGUUCCUUUUCGACUGUCACAUGCUGCAGAUCUCUUUUUGUUGUUUAGGAUUGCACCUGUAUCCUAGAAAUUAGAGUGGCAGCUGAAUCAUCCAAUGACUGCGAACCUCUAGCAGUAGAUGCUAUUCAAUUGAUUCACGGAUCACUCUAUCAAAGUGUCAUGAAAUAUUGAGCACGUAAGUAAUUUGCCAGAAAUUGCAUUAUUUAUCAAUAUGGUAAUCUCCUUCUUGCAAUCUUGUGAAGUUUUCUGUGAAGAAGUAAUUUUAACUAGAUCACCAAUUUUUAGUACCAUUGUUUGCUGAGAGCUACUUGGCUAACAUAUCUCUUUAUCCCGGGAAAUCUGAGCUGCCCUUUUUGCCUUCAAACACACAGGUAAACUACAAUGCAUUAGUUGGCCUUGUUCAAGUUCCAUUCAGAUUAUUGUAAAGCACUUGUUGUCGCUUCUCUUUUGGGCUUAUGAAGAUCAUAUACUUUCUUAUUUGGGUUUAUUAACCAGUGCCCUUGUCCUUUUGCUCUGUUUAUUAACAAAUCCCACGGUGUGUAUUUCAAUUUAUAUAUAAUUUCUGGCUUUGAAAGAAA